rnacentral:rRNA from 1 species
CGGACGGGUGAGUAAUGUCUGGGAAACUGCCCGAUGGAGGGGGAUAACUACUGGAAACGGUAGCUAAUACCGCAUAACGUCGCAAGACCGAAGAGGGGACCUUCGGGCCUCUUGCCAUCGGAUGUGCCCAGAUGGGAUUAGCUAGUAGGUGGGGUAACGGCUCACCUAGGCGACGAUCCCUAGCUGGUCUGAGAGGAUGACCAGCCACACUGGAACUGAGACACGGUCCAG